ACAAAGCACAUAAAACAAGCAAAUAAACAAAUCAAACAGAGUUCGAAACCAAAAUAAUGUUCGAUCCGAAUUAUACAAUCCCAAAAAAUAGAAAAAUACGAAAAUGUAAAUCCUAUUCUAAACUAAUCCUAGACUAAGUUCUAAUGCCUCACCCGAUGCCUCGGGUCUUCAUCUCGAACGUCUUCCGCCGACAUAAUACGUCGAGGCAUUCCCUGUGAAUAAAUAUAUACACGUGGCCUCGAGGCAUUCCCCGAUGAAUAAAUACAUCUUUUCAAUGCGAGAAACCCAAAUCAUUCAACAAUAUUUCAAACAUUCAAUAGAACCACAAAUUCUAAACUUUGCCUAUCCAACCUACGUUUGCCUAUCUAUUUAACGGCCUAAUCAUGCUACUAUCGUGUUCAACAAUGUUCAUACUUAAACCAAAUUAAACCAAAAUCAACAAAUCUUAAUCCAUCCAAAUUCACCCUUUUUAUCAAUUUCUCAAUUCCACCCUGAACUCCCUUUUAUCACCAAAUUUACAUAAUUCACGAUUAACAAUUUCAACCGUCUACCAUCAAUAUAAUAUAACACCCAUCAUUCACAUCCCAUGCAGAAUAAAAGAAAAAUUGAGACGAUAUCAAUCAAUCACACAAAAACCAAGAAUUAACUAAGAGUAAGAUGAGAGAUAUGGACUUUAAAUUAAGUGUUUCGAACUGUGAUUAUUAUUUGAUCGCACUUUUGAUUUCAAAUCGAGUAGAUGACCAGAGCUCACGAUCUGAACCUCAUCGGAACCUCAACAAACGCUGAAAUCUCGACUAUGAGCCAAUUGUAGCACAAAAAAAAAAUUCCUCGAAAUUCGAUUCGAAAAGAGACCCGCGAUAACUCGAAAGGAAAACCCAAACAAUGACACCUAACUCUGACCAAGAUUUGAGUCACGAAUAAAAUUACGCAUCCAUUUACGUCACCGCUAGAAUUUUCUGAUGAGAUGCGAUGGGAUGGAAAAGACGGAUCAAUUUUUGGUCGGGUUUUCAAAUGUUUUCUAGUAAGGUUUCCUGGUGGCUUUUGGUGGUUAGGGGUUUCUAGUCUCCAAUGUUUCCCGAUGGUUUGACCUGAACGAUCAGUUCCGAUGAAGGUUGCUAUCCGGUUAGUAUGUGAACUAUUUUUUAUUAGAACAAAAACUACUAUUUCUCUCUGUUUUUCUUUCUUUCUCCUCUCUCUCGCCACUCUCCUCUCUUAAUCUCUCCCUUCGAUUUCCUCACCGUCCCACUGUGUGUGUACGAUUUAUUGUGUAGGGGCGUGUGUGUUCUGUGAGGGAUUCUGAGAGUGCGUGAAGAAGAAGAAAGGAAAAGGUGGAAUCCCCCCUGCUUAUGGUCUCCCCCUUAUUCUUGUUUUAAAUGAAAAUUCAGAAUGAAUUCUUUUGUUGUGUGGCCCACGAGUAAGGUCUUUGUUGUGAAAAUAUGGGAAAUGAGGGGAUCACGUGAGGUGUCCCUAUCCCUUUUGUUUGUUAUGGUUAAUUGGGAGUAUAUGAAUGUGGUCCCCUCUUUUCUUUUUC
rnacentral:lncRNA from 1 species